UUCCAUCUCUAUUCUCAUCAUAAACCUUAACCAUCUUCCUACACUCCAUCUUUGUACACUCAUCGUAUCCUAACAAACUCAACAC
rnacentral:sRNA from 1 species